rnacentral:rRNA from 1 species
AACUUCAAGAUAAGAUUUCCCACCGCAAGGGUAAGACCCCAGAAAGACUAUCUGGUUGAUAGGUCGAAGGUGUAAGUGCAGCAAUGUAUUUAGCUUAUCGAUACUAAUAGGUCGAGGACUUGACCAAAUU